rnacentral:rRNA from 1 species
GAUGAACGCUAGCUACAGGCUUAACCCAUGCAAGUCGAGGGACCGGCUCACGGGUGAGUAACAAGUAUCCAACCUGCCCUUUACUCGGGGAUAGCCUUUCGAAAGAAAGAUUAAUACCCGAUGUUAAGGAUGGGGCUGCGUUCCAUUAGGUUGUUGGUGAGGUAACGGCUCACCAAGCCUUCGAUGGAUAGGGGUUCUGAGAGGAAGUGCCCCCACAUUGGAACUGAGACACGGUCCAAACUCCUACGGGAGGCAGCAGUGAGGAAUAUUGGUCAAUGGGCGUUAGCCUGAACCAGCCAAGUAGCGUGAAGGAUGAAGGCUUAUGGGUCGUAAACUUCUUUUAUAUAAGAAUAUGUAUUAUAUGAAUAAGGAUCGGCUAACUCCGUGCCAGCAGCCGCGGUAAUUC